rnacentral:rRNA from 1 species
AGAGUUUGUCCUGGCUCAGAACGAACGCUGGCGGCGUGGCUAAGACAUGCAAGUCGAACGGACUAUCUUAUUGAGUAAUCAAGCGGAUAGUUAGUGGCGAAAGGGUUAGUAAUGGUUAGGUAAUGUACCCUGUGCUUCGGAAUAGCGUCUCCUGUACCGUAAGGUACAGGAUUCCGAAAGGGGCGGUAAUACCGGAUAAUAUUAUCUGUCGAUAGGCAGAUGAUCAAAGAUUUAUCGGCAUAGGAGCGGCCUACCCCCCAUCAGCUUGUUGGUGAGGUAAUGGCUCACCAAGGCUAUGACGGGUAGCGGGACUGAGAGGUUGGCCCGCAACAUCGGGACUGAGACACUGCCCGGACCUCCACGGAGGGCUGCAGUAACGAAUAUUGCGCAAUGGGCGAAAGCCUGACGCAGCGACGCCGCGUGCGGGAAGAAGUUCCUUGGGAUGUAAACCGCUGUCAGGGGGAAGAAAGUGCGCUUCGGCGCAUUGAUCUAACCCGAAGGAAGUCACGCUAACUU